rnacentral:rRNA from 1 species
UGGGGAAUAUUGGACAAUGGGCGCAAGCCUGAUCCAGCAAUGCCGCGUGUGUGAAGAAGGUCUUCGGAUUGUAAAGCACUUUCGGCGGGGACGAUGAUGACGGUACCCGCAGAAGAAGCCCCGGCUAACUUCGUGCCAGCAGCCGCGGUAAUACGAAGGGGGCUAGCGUUGCUCGGAAUGACUGGGCGUAAAGGGCGCGUAGGCGGGCGACGCAGUCAGAUGUGAAAUUCCUGGGCGUAACCGGGGGGCUGCAGGUGAGACGAGUGGGCUAGAGUAUGAAAGAGGGUCGUGGAAUUCCCAGUGUAGAGGUGAAAUUCGGAGAGAGUGGGAAGAACACCGGUGGCGAAGGCGGCAACCUGGGCCGUGACUGACGCUGAGGCGCGAAAGCGUGGGGAGCAAAC